ACCCCCCCGUACACACACACAGCCACAGGGAGAGGAGCCGCCCGGACACACAGACACACGGGGGACCCCCUCCCCCUUUCACACGCACACAGAGGGGACCCCCCCCGGCACACACACACACACACAGAAGGGACUCCCCCCCGCACACACACAGGGGGCACCCCCCCGCACACACACAGCCACACGAGCCCACCCCCAUCCGCGCACACACAGCCGAUCCCCCCGCUCCCGAGGGCAGCCCCGCAGCCCCGGAGCGCAGCACGCAGCCGCCCCCCGCCACGAUCCGCUCCCCACCGCCCCGCUCACCUCCUCGGGCGCCGGGGACGCGGGGCUGGGCACGGGGCUGCUCCCCGCCGAGCACGGCCCGCCGCGGGGGCAGGGCUCCGCCGGCUGCCCGCCGGCGCUCAUGCCGGUGCCGGUGGCGGUGCCGGUAGCGGUGGCGGUGCCGGUAGCAGUCCCGGUGCCGGUAGCAGUCCCGGUACGGUGCGGUGCCCGCCGCCGGUGGGAGCGAGGCUCGAGCGCCGCCCCGGCCGCAGGGGCGGGACCACCUGGUGGCGGGGAAGGCGGGGGCGGGGCCUCGCGCCGGCCGUCCCGGUGCGGGGGGGUGCCGGUGAGUGUCCGCCCCUCCCGGUACCGAAUGCGGGAGCGCAGCCGGGCUGGACUCGCCCGGACCCGCCGCCGCCGCCAACGGCAACGCCGCGGCACCGCCCACCGCCGCGCGGGGCCGCGGCUCAUGGAAUGUUGGGGCUCGGGGGAACACCGCGCUCGAACGGUCCCCGCGCGCCGGGGCCGGGCGGAACCCACCCCACCCCACCGGGCUGCUCCGUGCGACACGGCCCGGGACAGCUCCGGGCUGCUCCGGCCAACCUGGGCCACUGCCUCUACACACUCCCAGGGAAGAAUUUCAUCCUAGUAUCCAAAGUUGUCUCCUCUUUCACUUUAAAGCCAUCCCCCCUUCUCUCAUCCCUAUCCGCCCGUGUAAAAAGUCACUCCCUCUCUUUAAAAUAUGUCAACAGUAAAAGCCACCCCAGAAUUCACAUUUUCUCGUAA
rnacentral:lncRNA from 1 species